rnacentral:piRNA from 1 species
UAAAUAAUCUGAAUACAUCAAGCAG